CUGAGGUUGGGACAGAUGCGUCGAAGCGGACUGGAUCUAAGACUGCAGCUGGGGUUGUUGCGGAGCAAAUUGAAUGGGCUGUUGCUGGGGUUGAGACGCCCAGGUGCCUUGCGGAUUGAUCCACUGAUUAUGCGGAAUCUGGCCUGGGUAGUAGCUCCACGGAGCGCCUUGGUAGUUGUAGCCAUACCCCUGGAAUUGAGUCUGAGAAGUAUUUCUGUAGUGUCAGGCA